rnacentral:rRNA from 1 species
CCCUUAGAUGUUCUGGGCCGCACACGCGCUACACUGAAGGAGGCAGCGUGUACUCCUGGAUCGAAAGAUUUGGGUAACCCGCGAAUCUCCUUCGUGCUAGGGAUUGAGGUUUGCAAUUAUCCUUCAUUAACGAGGAAUUCCCAGUAAGUGCAAGUCAUAAGCUUGCGCUGACUACGUCCCUGCCCUUUGUACACACCGCCCGUCGCUACUACCGAUUGAAUGAUUUAGUGAGGACUUCGGACUGGGACCGAUGCGGCUUUCGGGCUGCGUCGGUAUUCUGGAAAGAUGUCCAAACUGUAUCAUUUAGAGGAAGUAAAAGUCGUAACA